ensembl:lncRNA
AUGCUGGUAGAUGUAACGAGACAUCGCGUAGGUGUUUUUAAGGGGUUGAAGUAGGAAGAGCAAAGCCUACAUACACAGAUGUAGUUUGUGUGGUCUGCACUGACAAGCCCGAGCCAGUGUCUCUCUCCAGUUACUCCUGAAUCACGAGUUGUUUAGGCGUAUUCUUCAAAAGUAACAAAUAUUUACUUUUGAAAACCUAAAAAACUCAGAAUUUGGAUGUCUUGUUUUGAAAUUCAUACUCAUCGAUGUCUUGGAAGUAUAGAACUGUACUGGAGGAACAGGAGGAGACCAGUUGUUGUAAACUGUAAAGUUAGAGGGGCGUUUUCUGCAUCUUCUUCUGCGUUUCAAACCCUCCUGGGCCUGUAGUUUACAUCUUCAACACCCCCAUGUGGAAAUUGAAAAAACUAGUUUCAAAAGGCAGCCUUUUCUUCUUCAGGCAAAGCAGUUCAAGUCUUUUUUGUACAUUAUAGUUUUGUCUACAUCUUCUUCUUCUCAGGAUUUCCCAUCAACCGUUUCUGCGCGGCUCAGUUGUUCUCCUCGUCGCUGUCGUCGGGGCUGAUGGCCGGGCUGUAGGUGGGCGACGUGGGGCUGUAUCCGGGAGAGGUGGGGCUGUAGGUGGAGCCUUUAGGACUGGUGGGUGAGUAGGUGGGGGAGGUCGGGGAGUAUUUGGGGGAGGUGGGGGAGUAGGUAGGAGACGUGGGGGAGUAUUUGGGGCUCGUAGGGGUGUAGGUUGGAGACGUGGGCGAGUAGGUGGGAGAGGUGGGGCUGUAUUUGGGUGUAGUGGGUGAAUACGUCGGGGAGGUCGGCGAGUACUUGGGCGAAGUGGGGGAGUACUUUGGCGACGUAGGCGAGUACUUCGGGGACGUGGGGGUGUAUUCUGGAGAGCUGGGGCUGUAGGAGGGGGAGGUGGGGGUGUAUUUGGGGGAGGUGGGCGAGUACGACGGGGAACUCGGGCUGUACGAGGGCGAGCUGGGGGUGUAGGUCGGGGACUGGGGUGUGUAGCGUGGACUGGAGGGCGAGUAGGAGGGGGAGGUGGGCGAGUACGAAGGCGACGUGGGGGAGUA